rnacentral:rRNA from 1 species
UGAAGGAGGAGCUUGCUCCUCCGGAUUAGUGGCGAACGGGUGAGUAACACGUGAGCAAUCUGCCCUUGACUCUGGGAUAAGCGCUGGAAACGGCGUCUAAUACCGGAUACGACCCGCGGAGGCAUCUCCUGCGGGUGGAAAGAACUUCGGUCAAGGAUGAGCUCGCGGCCUAUCAGCUUGUUGGUGAGGUAAUGGCUCACCAAGGCGACGACGGGUAGCCGGCCUGAGAGGGUGACCGGCCACACUGGGACUGAGACACGGCCCAGACUCCUACGGGAGGCAGCAGUGGGGAAUAUUGCACAAUGGGCGCAAGCCUGAUGCAGCAACGCCGCGUGAGGGACGACGGCCUUCGGGUUGUAAACCUCUUUUAGCAGGGAAGAAGCGAGAGUGACGGUACCUGCAGAAAAAGCACCGGCUAACUACGUGCCAGCAGCCGCGGUAAUACGUAGGGUGCAAGCGUUGUCCGGAAUUAUUGGGCGUAAAGAGCUCGUAGGCGGUCUGUCGCGUCUGCUGUGAAAACCCGAGGCUCAACCUCGGGCUUGCAGUGGGUACGGGCAGACUAGAGUGCGGUAGGGGAGAUUGGAAUUCCUGGUGUAGCGGUGGAAUGCGCAGAUAUCAGGAGGAACACCGAUGGCGAAGGCAGAUCUCUGGGCCGUAACUGACGCUGAGGAGCGAAAGCGUGGGGAGCAAACAGGCUUAGAUACCCUGGUAGUCCACGCCGUAAACGUUGGGAACUAGAUGUGGGGACCAUUCCACGGUCUCCGUGUCGUAGCUAACGCA